CUUGGCAUUGCAUUCAUCUAAAAGAUUUUCUUUACUUUUUCCUUCCAUUAAACUCAUACCUUUAAUUAAAAAAUUGAAUUAGUCCAUUAGAGUUUUUCCCGUGAACAUUUUAUCCAACCAAGAAUACCUACGAUGGACUAGUGCAGUAAGGGAUUGCGGUAAAAAAAAAAACGUGCAUAAGUAAGCCGGCGUGGUGAUGAAAAAUUUAUAGGUAAGUAUUAAUAAAAAAUAGAGCCAACAGG